rnacentral:lncRNA from 1 species
UGAGAGGAGGGGGCUUCCACUUCCAUCACCUGGCAAGGGAACCUCCACAGCCCAAGAAUAUUAACAUUUAUCAGGUGCCGGGCAUGGGCCUCAUGUGUUUUAUGUAAUUCAAUCCUCCCAACAAAAGUAUGAGAGCCAGCCCUGCAGCCCAGCCUUCAACAUGAGCAACUCCUGCUCUCUGUAGCUCCAGGCCCAGCCUGGACCUAUCUUUCAGAGCCAUAAUGCUGAGACAGUCCCUGAGUCUUGGAUGAACACAGGACUCACAGUGUCUACACCGGACAGUUUCUGUUUGCACGACAUUGAGUAAACUUCACAUCCAUCGGGGAAGUUACCCUUUGGGAUUGCUGAUGAAGGUGAGGAGAGGAUGCUGUUCUGAGAGCUGCUGAUAAUACGUGGAUCCACACCCACAGGCUUGAGCUGCUUGAUUGAAAUUCACGUCAAAAUGGAAUUCUGGUUUGGCUCAACUUGACUACUAUGGAUGAUGAAAAUAAAUCCCUGGGUCACACAAGGAUAGUGAUUGAGUAGAGCUUGCUUGCUGGCACAGGAAUGACAUUUCAACUGGAAUUAAAUUGUCG